rnacentral:rRNA from 1 species
GAAUCAACGCUGGCGGCGUGCCUAACACAUGCAAGUCGAACGAGAAAGGGUAGCAAUACCCGAGUAAAGUGGCGCACGGGUGAGUAACACGUGACUAACCUACCCUUGAGCGGGGGAUAACCUAGGGAAACCUGGGCUAAUACCGCAUAACACCUACGGGUCAAAGCGAGCAAUCGCACUUAAGGAGGGGGUCGCGGCAGAUUAGCUAGUUGGUGAGGUAAUGGCUCACCAAGGCGAUGAUCUGUAUCCGGCCUGAGAGGGCGCACGGACACACUGGAACUGAAACACGGUCCAGACUCCUACGGGAGGCAGCAGUGGGGAAUUUUGCGCAAUGGGGGAAACCCUGACGCAGCAACGCCGCGUGGAGGAUGAAGUCCCUUGGGACGUAAACUCCUUUCGAUCGGGACGAUAAUGACGGUACCGGAAGAAGAAGCCCCGGCUAACUUCGUGCCAGCAGCCGCGGUAAUACGAGGGGGGCAAGCGUUGUUCGGAAUUAUUGGGCGUAAAGGGUGCGUAGGCGGUUUGAUAAGUCUUGUGUGAAAUCUCUGGGCUCAACCUAGAGUCUGCACAGGAAACUGUCGGGCUUGAGAGUGGGAGAGGUGAGUGGAAUUUCCGGUGUAGCGGUGA